CGGGGCGUAGCUCAGUUUGGCUAGAGUGCUGGCUUCGGGAGUCAGAGGUCGCUGGUUCGAAUCCAGUCGCCCCGACCA
rnacentral:tRNA from 1 species